AUGAACGCGGACCACUUCGUCAAGAGCGUGGGGUUGGUGGGGAGCAAGAUAUACGUGGUGGGAGGCUAUGUGAACGGUGAGAGUCAUCAAGCUGAAUCGUUCGACCUAAAGACGCAAACUUGGGAGACAGCGCCGAGACCUAACCCAGAAAGGUUGUUUCAUGCGACUGCUGACGUGUCGUUAGACAGGAAGGUUUGUGCGUUACUGUCCCUUGGAGCCAUCGUUGUUUGCUACGAUCCUAGUAGAGAUGGUACUUGUACGAGCUUCGUGUUGCCGAAAGAUAAGUGGUGGAAGACGGGCGUGUGUGUGAUCGACAAUGUGCUCUAUGUUUACUACGCUAGGUUCGGGUUGAUGUGGUAUGACACUGAGCUGAAUGUGUGGAGAGUGGUGAACGGUUUGGAUGAUAUGAAGAAGGUUCGGUCCGUUGCAAUGGCGGAGUACUAUGGGAAGAUGGCGUUUUUGUGGAGGGAAUAUGGUGUUGUUGGUGGUGUGAGGAAGGAGAUUUGGUGUAGGAUGAUUGCGUUGGAUAGGAGUGAAGAAGGGAUCAAUGGGAUUGCCGAAUCGGGUCAGCUUAUGGGGAGUGUACCUCGUGGCUAUACGUGGCAGCAUUGUCUAUCAGUUUCAGAGUAGAGAGGAUAGAUAGACUGAGCUAAUUAUUUUGAAGUUUCGAUACUUUGUUCUCUAUCUUUGUUUUUGCUGAAUCUUUCCAAAGACUAACAGAAGAUUGUUCUGCUUUUGUUAAUGAUGAACAAAGCCUGUGAUUAGUUUACAUCGACCUGAAAUGCGUUACAAUAGAUGGUUUUAUAUGCUUGAAGUUAACUUGUAUGUCAAGUUUCUUUAAAGAUGCUAGUUUCUGAGUUGCAAUGGUUUGAAUAUUUUGCAAAACCAUAUUAUUUCAUGAGUUGUAUUUCAUCGUAUUUAUUUAUUGAUCAUUUAAAAAACAAUUAUUUACCUUGUAACAUAUUUUUACUGACAAAUGAACAUUGUAAAUAAUACUUUUGACGCUACAAUCACGUAUUUAGCUUUUAAAUAUUAUGUAUUAAUUUGAAAGUUUAAAAUGUAAAAUUUUGUUAUUUUGAUGGUUAAAAUCUAUUUUUGUUUUAUGAAAUAAAAUAUAAGAAAUGAAUUUUUAUAUAUUUUUUACGAAAUUUUGUCUAUAAAUAUUUUUUAAAAUUAAAUUAAAAAUUAAACUAAUAUGAAUGUGUGUAAAUAAAGAAAAGAAAGCCUAUUCUCAUGUAUCAUAAUAUGAUGAAUGGACAAGUCGUGAUAAUGCUAGAAGAAUUUAACGGGCCCAAACGUGAGCGUCUCCGUUGUCGAGAAAGGUCUACACGCUAACACCUUUUAAGCCGUUGAUAUGAAAGUGACAAGCACUUCUUUAACGGCGUCACACUGGCAUCUACCAGAUCCAUACACGUGUCCUACCUCGCUCGCCGGAGAUCCACAGGAUUCGCUCUCUCCUCCGCAAAGACUCGCUCUACAUCAGCUUCAUGCACACUGACAAAACCAACGGCGUCCGCACGCCACAUUGGUUCACUCUCCGCAGGGCUGAGAGUACUAACCCGAGUCAUGAGAAUCAGUUCAUCUCCGUCAACCUCGUGUUUCCUAACCACGAAGAGAUCAUGCCGCCUUCCGUCGUCUCUUACGGUCCAGAUCUUUUCUUUAUCUCCGGAUCACUCAUCCCCUCGUCGGCCUUAUGGAUCUUUGACUCUCGAACCAGCCAGUUUCGACAAGGACAAAGCAUGAACGCGGACCACUUCGUCAAGAGCGUGGGGUUGGUGGGGAGCAAGAUAUACGUGGUGGGAGGCUAUGUGAACGGUGAGAGUCAUCAAGCUGAAUCGUUCGACCUAAAGACGCAAACUUGGGAGACAGCGCCGAGACCUAACCCAGAAAGGUUGUUUCAUGCGACUGCUGACGUGUCGUUAGACAGGAAGGUUUGUGCGUUACUGUCCCUUGGAGCCAUCGUUGUUUGCUACGAUCCUAGUAGAGAUGGUACUUGUACGAGC
rnacentral:lncRNA from 1 species